AGAGUUUGAUCCUGGCUCAGAUUGAACGCUGCGGUAUGCCUUACACAUGCAAGUCGAACGGUAGAGGGGGCAACCCUUGAGAGUGGCGAACGGGUGAGUAAUACAUCGGAACGUGCCCAGUCUGGGGGAUAACGUAGCGAAAGCUACGCUAAUACCGCAUACGACCUGAGGGUGAAAGCGGGGGAUCGCAAGACCUCGCGCGAUUGGAGCGGCCGAUGGCAGAUUAGGUAGUUGGUGGGGUAAAGGCCUACCAAGCCUGCGAUCUGUAGCUGGUCUGAGAGGACGACCAGCCACACUGGGACUGAGACACGGCCCAGACUCCUACGGGAGGCAGCAGUGGGGAAUUUUGGACAAUGGGCGCAAGCCUGAUCCAGCCAUACCGCGUGCGGGAAGAAGGCCUUCGGGUUGUAAACCGCUUUUGUCAGGGAAGAAAUCUUCUGGGCUAAUACCUCGGGAGGAUGACGGUACCUGAAGAAUAAGCACCGGCUAACUACGUG
rnacentral:rRNA from 1 species